CCUACGGGUGGCUGCAGUGGGGAAUAUUGCACAAUGGGCGCAAGCCUGAUGCAGCCAUGCCGCGUGUGUGAAGAAGGCCUCCGGGUUGUAAAGCACUUUCAGCGGGGAGGAAGGCGGUGAGGUUAAUAACCUCAUCGAUUGACGUUACCCGCAGAAGAAGCACCGGCUAACUCCGUGCCAGCAGCCGCGGUAAUACGGAGGGUGCAAGCGUUAAUCGGAAUUACUGGGCGUAAAGCGCACGCAGGCGGUCUGUCAAGUCGGAUGUGAAAUCCCCGGGCUCAACCUGGGAACUGCAUUCGAAACUGGCAGGCUAGAGUCUUGUAGAGGGGGGUAGAAUUCCAGGUGUAGCGGUGAAAUGCGUAGAGAUCUGGAGGAAUACCGGUGGCGAAGGCGGCCCCCUGGACAAAGACUGACGCUCAGGUGCGAAAGCGUGGGGAGCAAACAGGAUUAGAUACCCGUGUAGUC
rnacentral:rRNA from 1 species